rnacentral:lncRNA from 1 species
CCACUGCUGUCACCUCUGACGUCACCAUGGAUGGCACCGCCAACGGCACCUCUGAUGUCACCGCUGAUGAUGUCACCGCUGAUGUCCCCUCUGAUGUCACCGCAGCUGUCACCGCCGAUGUCACCACCGCUGCCACCACUGCCAACGUCACCACUGAUGUCACCUCUGAUGUCACCACUGAUGUCACCUCCAAUGUCACCUCUGAUGUCACCACUGAUGUCACCAUGGAUGUCACCUGCGAUGGCACCGUGGAUGUCCCCUCUGAUGUCACCACUGAUGUCACCACCACUGUCACCACUGCCAACGUCACCACAGCUGUCACC